rnacentral:rRNA from 1 species
AGCAGCCGCGGUAAUUCCAGCUCCAAUAGCGUAUAUUAAAGUUGUUGCAGUUAAAAAGCUCGUAGUUGAAUUUCGGGAUCGAUAGGUCGGUCGUGCCUUCGGUACGUACUGAUGUUACCGAUUUCUCCCUUCUGAUGAGCCAUGAUGUCAUUAAUUUGAUGUUGUGGGGAGUCAGGACUGUUACUUUGAAAAAGUUAGAGUGUUUAAAGCAGGCACACGCUUGAAUACAUUAGCAUGGAAUAAUGAAAUAGGACGUUCGAACCUAUUUUGUUGGUUUUUAGGAUCAACGUAAUGAUUAAUAGGGAUAGUUGGGGGCAUUAGUAUUCAAUUGUCAGAGGUGAAAUUCUUGGAUUUAUUGAAGACUAACUACUGCGAAAGCAUUUGCCAAGGAUGUUUUCAUUAAUCAAGAACGAAAGUUAGGGGGAUCGAAGACGAUCAGAUACCGUCGUAGUCUUAACCAUAAACUAUGCCGACUAGGGAUCGGAUGAUGUUAAUUUCAAUGACUCAUUCGGCUACCG